AGCAGCCGCGGUAAUUCCAGCUCCAAUAGCGUAUAUUAAAGUUGUUGCAGUUAAAAAGCUCGUAGUUGAAUUUCGGGAUCAAUAUGUCGGUCGUGCCUUCGGUACGUACUGGCAUCAUUGAUUUCUCCCUUCUGACGAACCAUGAUGUCAUUAAUUUGGUGUUAUGGGGAGUCAGGACUGUUACUUUGAAAAAAUUAGAGUGUUUAAAGCAGGCUCACGCUUGAAUACAUUAGCAUGGAAUAAUGAAAUAGGACGUUUGACCCUAUUUUGUUGGUUUCUAGGAUCAACGUAAUGAUUAAUAGGGAUAGUUGGGGGCAUUAGUAUUCAAUUGUCAGAGGUGAAAUUCUUGGAUUUAUUGAAGACUAACUACUGCGAAAGCAUUUGCCAAGGAUGUUUUCAUUA
rnacentral:rRNA from 1 species